ensembl:lncRNA
GACUUCAAUAUAAAGGUUUGCUACUCAGAAGGACAGAAGACCAAAAUUCCACUUCUUAUAAUAACUAACUGACAUGUCAUAUUUAGGCAUUAAAUCAUUCUGAGAUGUUUACGGAAAUUCAUCGGAUAGCACUACCUAGAAAAUGUGCCACCACUGUUGAUACCAUAAAAGAAAUGAAAGCACUACACAAGCACUGCAAAUGUAAGCAAAUAAAUAAGCACCAAAUCCAUCAGUCACAUGGAUAUAGUCACAGUGGGAUAGUAGGGACACACACAACAGUCUUUGCACCUAUGCACCGAUGAAGUGAGGUCUCAGUGUACUUGACCGGUGCUCGCUUUCUGCUCCGACAUGAUUUUAAUUAAUCUGAAAUUGUGGAGGCUGUCGAUUGUACAGGUCGACGUGACACAGGGGUAGAGUGGGUGCGCUGGGAACCGCAAGGUUGGCGGUUUGAGCCCUGGUUGCUCCAUGUUGAAGUGUCCCUGAGCAAGACACCUGGUUGCUCCCUGGGCGAAAAUGUAACAAAAAAAGCUAUGGGUAAAAAUUGCAAUGUUAGUCGCUUUGAAUAAAACCGUCAGCUAAAUGACCUGUAAUGUAAUACAAACGUUUAUUCAGAUGCAUGCCUUUAUAAAGAGCUGGCAGAGCGUUUCUGUAUGCAAAUGAAGGUGCGUGAGAACCGUUACUUUGGUCCUACUUCAGAAAAUGUUUAAGAAUAACUAGAAAAGGCAUUUCCUGCUGAAAAUGCGUUGGAAUGCAAAAAGCUGAAAGCUGAAAUGAAUAUUUAAAAAUAGCUGAAAAUACAGAAAGUUGAAGGGAAUUUGAAUACAUCUGAAAUUACACAUAUUAGAAAAGCUGAAAUUAAUUUGAAAUUGCUAAAAAUACAGAAAUGGGAGAAGCUGAAAGGAAUUUCAAUAGAUUUGCUGAAAAAGCAGAAAUGAAAACAGCUGAAAUAAAUGUGAAACAUUGCAAAAAAAUACAGAAAUGAAUAUUAAAACAUUGCUGUUAAUAGAGGCAUAAGAAAAGCUGAAAUGAUUUUAAAGAAUUGCUGAAAAUACAGGAAGUGGGGAAGCUGAAUUCCAAUAGAUUUUCUAAAAAAUACAGAAGUUGCAGGAGCUUAAUUGAAUUUUAAAAAGUACAGAAAUAACAAAAGCUGAGAUGAAUAAAAAGAGGUUUAAAAUUGGUUGUAGUAAUAUUGGUAGUAGUAUUAGUUAUAGUUGUAAUUGUGGUAUUAGUAGUACUAGCAGUAGCAGUCGGUUUAUUAUCAAUAGCAGUAGAAACAGCUGUAAUACUAAUACUAUUAGCCAUAGUAGUAUUUGUAAUAACAUUAGUAGUAGUUGUAGUAUUAAUAGCAGUAGAAAUACCAGUAAUAUGGUAGUAGAAGUAUCAGUUGUAGUACUACUAGAAGUACUAGUAACUUGCUUAGUGGUUGUGGUAGUAUUUGAAAGAGCAAUACGUAUUUCAACGAAACCGCUUCAUGGUUAAGGUACAGAUAAUCAUUGAGGCUUUAAUUUUGUAAUGAUGGAAUUGGGUGAGGGGGGGUUGGGAGACAGAAUGUUUGUUAUUCAAACUAAUAAGUUUUUAAUUAAUAGGCCUCAUCACAAACAUUAGAGUAAAAAUUCCCUCCAUGGGGCUUUUAUUUUGAAAUUAUUGGAUUGGGUGGGGUGGGGGGGUGUAGAUAGAGGGAGGGAGGGUGAGAGGGUGAGGAAGGGAGGGGUGGUGAGGAAGAGAUAGAGGGAGAGAGAGAGGAGGAGAAAUAGACAGACAGACUGACUGACUGAGUGAUUAACAGUGAGAAGAGGUCAGGGUGGAGGGGGGAGGGGGGGCGAGUGUCUUUAUCAUAUUGGUCUGUUGACAGAAAGCAUAGCUGCGUCAUGUGACUCCAGUAAUCAGGUCAUAGGAGCAGCUGUGAGUCACAGACAGAGAUCCUGCAGCGUGUGAGCGAGUAACCACGGCAACGGCGCACCUGUGCUCAUUAACGAGCUGCUGCAAAAGGCAGAGACAGGACAGCGAGUUACACAGAAUCCACACCUCAAACAAAUGACAUUCAGCGCAAAACUAUAACAGCUAUCUAAAAAAUACGGCGUUUUUACGAGACCCAAGACUCUACCGAACGCAUGGAUGUGCGUUUUAUGUCUGUCCGGUAAUAAAUACGGCUCCUAUGGCCGUUGACAAAACGUGUACCUUCUGGAUUUUUAGAGAAAUAUGUCGGCAGAUUUGUAUUGGAGCCUAUGGGGCUUUUGGCAGAGGUUGUGUCACUCUAACACUCCUUAAGCAAAAACUAAAGAACUCUGGGAUUCCAUGAACACAUUAAUCCAAUCAGCACAACCAUACCCUCAUUAAUCUGAAGAAAUGAAGCCUCUAGAGUGUAUACUUUGGCUGCAAGGACAGACGUUCCAUACUUUUUUAACCAGAUUCCUGCGCUGCUUCACACUCUAGCCCUCGAGGUCCCCACUCUAGCAGACGCAAUACACACUCAUGUAAAAGUCAGAAACGGAGCGAAGAACUAGUGAAACAUAAUCAGUGAUUAUGAAAAAAGUACAAUAGAUAUCAAGAAGCAGUUUUUUUCAUAAAAUAGUUGAGACUUGUGUGAACAUUUGAGAGUUGAAAUGGUGUCUGUAGCUGAAAGAUUUGCGAAGCUGAAAAAUCUGAAAGUUGAAGAAGUUGAAGAGGAUUUGAAAAACAAACUCCAUUUGAAAACCAUGUUAGAAUAUUAACGAUUAUUGAUUUAUAUAAAUUCAAGCUUAAGAGGUAGAAAGCUGAAAAGUCAUAGCCCGGAAGCCGGAAAGAAGCUGAAGAUUUUAAUAUUUGAAGGAUUUUAAUAGCUGAAAGUGUGAAGGAGUUGAAAGGUGCCACGGAAGAAAUAGAAUAGGUCGGAAAUAAAGAUUCGAAGAACAAUACUUGGAAUGCUUAAAGCAUUCCAACUAAUAACACCAAUGUGUUUAUCAGUUUAUUCAUUUUUUAUUUGAGAUCGAGGAGGAAAGUCUCCGAGAUCGACCUCCGGUUGAUUGCGUGCGGCGGGUUGGCGACCAGUGGUUUAAAGUGACCUAAGCUGUCUGAACAAUCAAUCAUUCAUAAAAAAUACAAUUAUACAAUUCAGAACACUUAACAGGACUGUUUCUUUUUUUCUGAAUAUUUUAUUUUGAAAAUUGACCAGAUUCUCCUACAAUUACAUGUCGUUGUCCCUCUUGACACAAGUGUCAAGCAAACGUUUUGGGUUUUUUUUGCCAUGCGCAGCGACUACUAGUGAAGAUCAAUACUGAAGUUUAAAACGUAGACUACCCCACUGGACUGAAGGUUAAUUCAGCCGAGUGUAGUGAGGACUGAAGGUUACUGUCAUGGUGUGGGUUUAUUUCCUGUCUUAUUUUGUAGUUUUCUGCCUCUAGUCUCCCUGGGUAACUUCACUUCCUGCCUUGUCCAGUCAUCCCCUGUGAUUGUCUGAUUGUUUCCACCUCCUAUCACCUGCACCUGCACAAGCAUAGUGUGUCUCUUGUCUCUGUCAUUGUUGAUUGUUCUGGAUGUUCUUGGUUCCUGUCUGUAUUUUUGCCCCUUGGACCCUGGCUAUGGCGGGGGCUGAGCCGACGAGGCUUCAUGUGCCGUGCAGCCGGCGCCUCCGGUGGUUUCCCGUGUCCCCCAGCCAGCGACUCCGGAGGGUUUCCGUGUUCCCCAGCCAGCCAUUCCAGAGACGUUCAGUGCCCUGCAGUCGGCGCUCCGGAGCCAGACUGUUGACCGUCCACCAGGCCGACCCCCGGAGCCCUCCCGGCCAACUGAUCGUCUGCCGGGCCGACCCCCGGAAGCUCCCUGGCCGUCUGGCCUCCCGCCGGUUUCCACCUGUGUCCAAUCACCUGCAUCUCCCUAGUGUAUUUAAGCCGUGUGUGUCACUAGUCGCGUCAUUGUUGAUUGUUCUGUAUGUUCUUGCUUCCUGCCUGUAUUUUCGCCUCUUGGCUCCUUUGGAGUUUUUGACUAUUAAAGUCUUUUUUUGGUUUGACGUCUGCAUUUGAGUCCUGCCUUCCCCGCACCCUGACAGUUACUGGUGCCAAGUGGAAAUAGGACUAUGAGAAACAGUGUUGAGAAAAAUAAGACUGACUGACAAACUAUGAAGCAGAUAUUAAAGAUAUAAAGAACAUGAAGUGUAUAAGUGUAAUAAAUAAUUAAAUCUUUUGUACAUUAACACUUUUAACGUCCACUGACCCGGACACAAAGGCACUGUUGCCAAAGACAGCACAACACAGAAAUGGAAGCGCAGAUUAACAUCCAAAUUGAUUCAAGAGUGUAUUAUCAUGUCAUUAGUUAGCUGGCUACAGUAAACAGUCUCCGAAAGUUAUAUUCUCACCACAGAAAGUUAAUCAGUAUAGCCUUUAAUUUAUGUAUAUGAUUCUCUUGAGGUUAAUUUUACAAUGUUUUAAAAUGAAAAUCGAGGGGUAUACUGACAAAGAAAAGGCCCAGAGGCCCACACCAAAAAUAUAAAAAAUCAAUAUUUUCAUAGAUAAGGAAGCCUAACAAGGUAACCAAGAGAUAAGAAACAAAUUGAAUGAUAGAUAAUUUUUUCUAGUGUAUUUUAUAGCUGGAUUAAGACACGGGUCAAAACCAACCCAUUAACACAAGGGAUGGCAACAGAAAGCUAACACAAGAGGAAGGUUAAGGCACUUACCAGCCUGCAAAAUGUUUUUAUAUUCAUCUUGACCUGUUGCCAGGAUAUUUUUUGUACAGUCUUCUUUGUUCUGUAUGAACAUUAAUUGUAGAAAGAUAUUUGACAAAGCCUAUGGCUAGUAAGUUGAUACUUUUAAAUCCUUCCGCUUUCAGUCGGUCCAAGAUUGUCUGCCGGGCCUUUUACAUUACAUUACAGGUCAUUUAGCCAAUGCUUUUAUCCAAAGCGACUUAUUCUCUGUUUAAUUACAGCUGCCCUUUAUCUUUUUUUUGCAUAUGCUUCUCUUCUUAUUAUCCAAGAUGGCACCAUUGAUGGCUGCCACGGUGCUUCGGUGCGCUUCGUUUUUUGUUGUUUUUGUUGUUAAUUAUAUUCAUUAUUAUUCCUGCUGAGAUUCCCGGAGCUCUUUUCACCAGAAAGCGUGGUUCUCUCACUCCGCUGCCAGGCAUCUUUCUCUCCAACGUGGGCUCACUGUGCAACAAACUGGACGAAAUUCAGCUGCUGGUGAGGAGAGACUUCUCUACAUCCUCCGUUUUGUGCUUCACGGAGACGUGGCUCUGCAGAUCGAUACCGGACUCCGCGCUCCAGCUGGCGGGCUUCCAGCUGCUCCGAGUGGACCGCGACACGGGGGUCUCCGGCAAGACAAAGGGUGGAGGAAUCUGCUUUUACUUCAACAACAGCUGGUGCAACGACGUAACGGUGAUCCUAAAACACUGUUCUCCUGAUCUGGAAACUUUCUUCAUCAACUGCAAACCCUUUUAUUCCCCCUGUGAGUUCGCUUCAUUCAUCCUGGUCGGUGUUUACAUGCCGCCGGCGGGCAACGUGCACGAGGCACAGCGAACACUCGCCGACCAGAUACGGCGUGUGGAGCGGACCAACCCGGACUCUUUAGUUAUUGUCCUCUGGGACUUUAACAAAGGAAAUCUCACACACGAACUCCCUAAGUACAGACAGUUUAUUAAAUGCCCCACUAGAGAGGAGAACACGCUGGAUCACUGUUACACCACAGUAAGCAGGGCUUAUCACGCCGUCCCUCGUGUUGCACUGGGAUACUCUGACCACGUCAUGGUCCAUCUGAUUCCUGCAUACAGGCAGAAACUAAAGCUCUGCAAACCUGUGGUGAGGGAAUUCAAGAAGUGGACCAGUGAGGCGCUUGAGGAUCUUCGGGCGGCCUUUGACUGCACAGACUGGGAUGUUUUCAGGACUGCUACUGACAGUCUGGAUGAGUUCACAGAGGCUGUAACUUCCUACAUCGGCUUCUGUGAGGACAGCUGUAUACCAUCAUGCACCAGGGUGAGUUACAACAACGACAAACCCUGGUUCACAGCGGAACUCAGAACACUACGCCUGCAGAAGGAUCAGGCUUAUAGGAGUAGGGACAAAAACUUGUAUACAGAGUCAAAAUACAAGUGUAGCAAGGCGGUGAGAGAUGCUAACAGUUCUCAGCAAGUGACUCUGCUUCGGUUUGGAGAGGCCUCAAACACCUCACUAACUACAAGCCCAAAACCCCCAACUCCAUGAAUGACCUCCGCCUGGCAGACGAGCUGAAUGAGUUCUACUGCAGAUUCUAAAGACAAUGUCCUGAUCCCAUCCCCCACAACUCCACCAACCUGCUGCAGUCCCCCAUCCCUCCCUCCCCCAGGCCAUCAGGUGCUCACGCUUCCACAUCUAUAUCACCUUCCCCUCCCCCACCAGCAACGACCCUCUCUAUUCUGGAGAGAGACAUUAACCGGCUCUUUAAAAGACAAAAUCCCCGUAAGGCAGCCGGUCCGGACUCUGUUUCCCCUCACACGCUGACGCAUUGUGCUGACCAGCUGUCUCCGCUGUUCACUGACAUCUUCAACACCUCCCUGGAGACAUGCCACGUACCAGCCUGCUUCAAGGCCUCCACCAUCAUCCCUGUUCCCAAGAAGCCCAGGAUCACAGAGCUCAAUGACUACAGGCCUGUCGCCCUGACCUCUGUAGUCAUGAAGUCUUUUGAACGGCUAGUCCUGACCCACCUGAAGUCCCUCACUGACCCCCUCCUGGACCUCUUGCAGUUCGCCUACAGAGCCAACAGGUCUGUGGACGAUGCUGUCAACAUGGCCCUCCACUACAUCCUCCAGCAUCUGGACUCCACAGGAACCUACGCCAGGAUCCUGUUUGUGGACUUCAGCUCUGCCUUCAACACCAUCAUCCCGUCUCUGCUGCAGGACAAACUCUCCCAGCUGCACGUGCCCGACUCCACCUGCAAGUGGAUCACAGACUUCCUGUCUGACAGGAAACAGCACGUGAAGCUGGGGAAACAUGUCUCAGCCUCUCGGACCAUCAGCGCCGGUUCCCCCCAAGGCUGCGUUCUUUCCCCUCUGCUCUUCUCCCUGUACACCAACAGCUGCACCCCCAGUCACCAGUCCGUCAAGCUCCUGAUGUUUGCGGAUGACACCACCCUCAUUGGACUGAUCUCUGGUGGGGAUAAGUCCGCCUACAGGUGGGAGUCUGACCAUCUCGUGUCCUGGUGCAGUAAGAACAACCUGGAGCUCAACGCUCUAAAGACAGUGGAGAUGGUUGUGGAUUUCCGGAGGAACAGAGCCCCACCCUCCCCCAUCACCCUGUGUGACUCCCCCCGUCCCCCGUGUGGAUUCCUUCUGUUUCCUGGGCUCCAUCAUCACCCAGGACCUCAAGUGGGAGCUGAACAUCAGCUCCAUCACCAAGAAGGCUCAGCAGAGGUUGUUCUUCCUGAGGCACCUGAAGAAAUUCAACCUGCCAAAGACGAUGAUGAUCCACUUCUACACGGCCAUCAUCGAGUCCAUCCUCUGCUCCUCCAUCACUGUCUGGUACGCUGCAGCCACAGCCAAGGACAAGGGCAUGCGUGUCAUCCGCUCUGCAGAGAGGGUGAUUGGCUGCAAUCUGCCGUCCCUGCAGGAUUUGUUCGCUUCCAGGUCUCUGAAGCGAGCUAAAAAGAUCGUAGCCGGCCCCUCUCACCCCGGACAAAACCUGUUUGUGCUCCUUCCAUCUGGCAGGAGGCUGAGGUCCAUCAGGACUAAGACCUCCCGCCACACGAACAGUUUCUUCCCGUCGGCAGUCGGGUUCAUCAGCAGAGCCCGGUCCCCCACUGACUGACUAUAACAUUCCACAGCUCACUCCCCUUCAUACUGCACAUGUCACUUUAACUGUAAUUGUUCACUUUGUCGUCACUCGUCACUUGUUCGCUAGUGCACUUUAUGCUUAAUAUUUUUUUACUUUUUUAAUAUUUUAAAUUCUUAAAACUUAUUAUCUUGUUUUAUACUAACUCAUGGCCUUAUUCUACUAACCCAUUGCAUUAGCAUUUCAUUUUACUUUAUUUUAUUACUUGUGCACUGCUGUCACUGCAUGAAAAGUGAGAUUUUCGUCCCCGUAAACGCCCGGAAAUCUCCCUAAUUUCCGACAAUUUGCAACCCGCGCACGUCGCGUUUGUCUGUGCCACAAAUUGUCGGAAACGAACCAUGACGUAGGUGGAGAGCUGGCGAAGGUGCGAAUGGCCCGAAUUAGCAUAUGAAUGCAGCGAAACCGCGGGUGGCCGAGCGGGCUUGAAUAUCCUUACUCCUUAUUGGAUGAAACCACAACUUACUAACAAAUGAAAUCACUCGUGAUUGGCAGCAAAACCCCACCUGGGCAGACCAGGCUCGAGUUUCCUUGUUCAUGAUUGGAUGAAAACACAACUUUCAAUCACUCAUGAUUAGUUGGCAGAUCUGUCGCUAUUGGUCACCCGCCUCAUUUUAAUUAUAUAUUCAUAUUAUGCUGUAUAUUCAUUUCAUGGUUAUCCUAUGCAGGCUACUACACUAUUAUUAGGAUACCAACCAGGAUAUCAAUGAAUUUAUAGAGAAAAUGAACAUUUGACACAUGUUUAUGCAAAGAAAGAGCUUUAUUAACAACACACAAACAACAACUACAUACAAAGUGAGGAUCUGCCCACACUUGGGUAACGGCGGUUUAAAAACUACAGCUCAGUAUACUGUCCGUUUGCCUCCUCGGGGUUGUAGACCGUCACUGGCGCUGUGUUUUCCGAGGCAGGUCUGUUGCGCAGGCGGCUUGUGUGUGUGGCGACCAUACAAUCCACCCCGAGACCCCGCCAACAACGCCGUCCCCUCCGUCCGACGUGAGCUCUACGGUGGCGGAUUUCCAGAAUUCCACCUCGUCAUCAGCCAACUUUGUCUCGAGUCCAGCAGCUGUAAAAACAACAAUGAAUCAGUACUGUGCGAUGCGUAUGGACACAACACAUUGAUCAAUGCACCUGAAAAAAGUCAGCAAAUAAUCUCUGACCCUCUUUCUUCUCGCUCGACUCCGCGCUGAAUCCUUCGCAGCUUCCGCCCGCAAUGAGUGUUCCAGCUGAACCUGAAGCUCCUGCGUACCGUCUCACAAUACGUCUCACAGGCGGCUGGGAAACAAUUAAAUGAGUGUGGUAUGAAUACAAAAAAAAUCAAACGCAAGUCACAGUAACAUUUAACAAGGAAGGAGAAACAGUAAACAGUGUCACUUACACACAAUGACGUCGUCUAAAUCUGGACUUAUCCCGGAGCAAAUACGAGGUCACCGCCUCAUUAUGAGGCGAGAUUAGUCUGUGAAAACAAAAUCUACAGUUAUGAUUGGUAUCCAUACGUAUAUAUUCCCUUAUAGCGCAGAAUGAAAGCAUAUUCUUUAAAUCUUACCCUUGCUCCGGUUCGUAGCGCCUGUAAUUCGUCUCGGAGUUGUGAAGACGGCGCACCGCUUCCUGUAAACGACACGGCAAAGAAAACACACUUUAAUCAAGCUGUUUCUGCUCAAUUGUAAGGCUACUAGGCUACUCUUAGCUUAGCUUGAGGCUACGCUACUCUUAGCUUGCAGUCAUCGAACGUAUUCUUACCGCUAUCUUGCGAUUGUGCGCCCGUCUCCUCUUCUUUGAGUCAGUUCCUUUCCUCCAUGGACAGAAACCCGGAGAGUCCCAACGCUCCAGUGGAGCGAACCGCUCGUUGAUAUCGGCAGUUUGUUGUUGGAGUUGACGAGACGAUCCACUGAGAGCAUUCAGCAGCUUCUUCUCGUCUGUCUGCGGACAGGCCGAAAGUUGGUGACCGCGGAGAGGAGUUGAAGGCGAGUUGAACGCGAGACGUCGUCCCGCCAUUAUUCACGAAGCAGCAAAAACCAAACAAAGGAACUGGAGAUACAGUUCUUCUGACUAUAGUAACACACUGUUAGUAUGCUCGUCUUGCAAGUACUGCUGUAUCAGUCAUGCCUAUGACCUCACACGUGAUUGGACGAGGAGUCUAAGGGUCCUCCAAUCACAUAUGAGGUUAUUGUUAUACGGAAGGACCAGUAUUUUAGGAAGACAAAUGGUUGGGACUUUGAAACAGCUGAUAUGCUUUAUGUAAAGCAGUGUUUUGGUGUCAGCAGAACGACUUUCCUUAGAAAACUGUACAGUGGUGCCUCUUUCUCCAUUCCACCAGACAAUCUUGGAUGAGUCUGACAGACAUGCAAUGUUGACAAUGUAUCAUCAGAUGUACCCUUGUGUCACUGAGGUUGAAUGUUUUGCCAUGACAUGUAAACAGGUAACAUAUAUGAAUGUAACUUACUCAAUCGAUAGAUGCAGAGCAGAAAGGUCAACAUAUGUUCAUGCUAAGUGGUGUGGAAACACUAACAGUUUUGAGGAACCCGUCCUUGACCCUCUAGCAGAACUACGACCAGCCAUUAUAAAGCAGUUUAUAGUUGUUAAUGCUGUGUCAAAGGGUACGGCAUUUAAACAUGUUCUUGCACAAGUUUCCUGGCUUUAUCCCCCCCCCGGACAGACAUUUUUAUGGAAAGCCAAUAGAAGUUUGGGGCUUGCAGGGAACAGACACGUCAUACCCAGCAUCAUUUCUGCCAGUUGAGCGCAUUGCUAGAAGAUGUGUGGUUAAUACAUCCUCUGUGCAUUUAAGUAAGACCAAAGAGAAGGUCACUGAAGUCCUGCCACUAUGCACUGUAGUUGAGCUCUAGGAGACUGUGAUCUCUGCAGACCCCUCAUGCUGAUUCAAAUGUUGUUUGCAUGGAAUGCUCAUUUUACCUUGAUUAAAACAAAUUUUUAAAAAAAGUUAUUUUGUGUAUCUUUUUUUACAUAACAUUUGCCAUUGCUAAUGGCGUACACAGUAAUCUAGCAUAUUUGAAUUAAAUAAAUCAAUUCAAGCCAAAAUGUAAGAGUCUAUAAUUAGACUACUGAGCCUGAUCUAUUUGUACUAGAGAUUUUCUUACCUUUUAAAAAAAUGUCACCUGGGCUAAAACUCCCUCUGCGACCCUGAUUUGCAUUUGUAUAGCUCACAGCAUUUUCAUUUACAUGUCAAAGCCUCCCCUAGAAUUAGGAGGAGGGGGGUCAUGGGGGGACAACUGCCAAGGGAGGCCCACGUCAAUUUCUGACAAUUUACGGCAGUUUUCGGC